rnacentral:rRNA from 1 species
UACGUAGGGGGCUAGCGUUGUCCGGAUUUAUUGGGCGUAAAGAGCGUGUAGGCGGCCAGGUAGGUCUGGUGUGAAAACUCGAGGCUUAACCUCGAGAUGUCAUCGGAAACCAUCUGGCUAGAGUCCGGAAGAGGAAAGUGGAAUUCCUGGUGUAGCGGUGAAAUGCGUAGAUAUCUGAAGGAACAUCAGUGGCGAAAGCGACUUCCUGGACCAAUACUGACGCUCAUGUGCGAAAGCGUGGGGAGCAAACAGG